UACGUAGGGGGCGAGCGUUGUCCGGAUUUAUUGGGCGUAAAGAGCGUGUAGGCGGCUUUACAGGUCCGUUGUGAAAACUCGAGGCUCAACCUCGAGACGCCGGUGGAAACCGUAAAGCUAGAGUCCGGAAGAGGAGAGUGGAAUUCCUGGUGUAGCGGUGAAAUGCGCAGAUAUCAGGAGGAACACCCGUGGCGAAAGCGGCUCUCUGGGACGGUACUGACGCUGAGACGCGAAAGCGUGGGGAGCAAACAGG
rnacentral:rRNA from 1 species